rnacentral:misc_RNA from 1 species
AAAGGAUCUCCUUCAUCCCUCUCCAGAAGAGGAGAAGAGGAAACACAAGAAAAAGCGCCUGGUGCAGAGCCCCAAUUCCUACUUUAUGGACGUGAAAUGCCCAGGAUGCUAU